GACGAACGCUGGCGGCGCGCCUAACACAUGCAAGUCGAACGAGCGAGAGUGAGUUGGCUUUCUCAGCGAGUGGCGAACGGGUGAGUAACGCGUGAGGAACCUGCCUCAAAGAGGGGGACAACAGUUGGAAACGACUGCUAAUACCGCAUAAGCCCACAGGUCGGCAUCGACCAGAGGGAAAAGGAGCAAUCCGCUUUGAGAUGGCCUCGCGUCCGAAUUAGCUAGUUGGUGAGGUAACGGCCCACCAAGGCAACGAUCGGUAGCCGGAACUGAGAGGUUGAAACGGCCACAUUGGGACUGAGACACGGCCCAGAACUCCUACGGGAGGCAGCAGUGGGGAAUAUUGCACAAUGGGGGAAACCCUGAUGCAGCGACGCCGCGUGGAGGAAGAAGGUCUUCGGAUUGUAAACUCCUGUUGUUGAGGAAAGAUAAUGACGGUACUCAACAAGGAAGUGACGGCUAACUACGUGCCAGCAGCCGCGGUAAAACGUAGGUCACAAGCGUUGUCCGGAAUUACUGGGUGUAAAGGGAGCGCAGGCGGGAAGACAAGUUGGAAGUGAAAUCUAUGGGCUCAACCCAUAAACUGCUUUCAAAACUGUUUUUCUUGAGUAGUGCAGAGGUAGGCGGAAUUCCCGGUGUAGCGGUGGAAUGCGUAGAUAUCGGGAGGAACACCAGUGGCGAAGGCGGCCUACUGGGCACCAACUGACGCUGAGGCUCGAAAGUGUGGGUAGCAAACAGGAUUAGAUACCCUGGUAGUCCACACCGUAAACGAUGAUUACUAGGUGUUGGAGGAUUGACCCCUUCAGUGCCGCAGUUAACACAAUAAGCAAUCCACCUGGGGAGUACGACCGCAAGGUUGAAACUCAAAGGAAUUGACGGGGGCCCGCACAAGCAGUGGAGUAUGUGGUUUAAUUCGACGCAACGCGAAGAACCUUACCAAGUCUUGACAUCCUGCGACGAUGCUGGAAACAGUAUUUUCCUUCGGGACGCAGAGACAGGUGGUGCAUGGUUGUCGUCAGCUCGUGUCGUGAGAUGUUGGGUUAAGUCCCGCAACGAGCGCAACCCUUACUGUCAGUUACUACGCAAGAGGACUCUGGCAGGACUGCCGUUGACAAAACGGAGGAAGGUGGGGAUGACGUCAAAUCAUCAUGCCCUUUAUGACUUGGGCUACACACGUACUACAAUGGCGUUAAACAAAGAGAAGCAAGACCGCGAGGUGGAGCAAAACUCAGAAACAACGUCCCAGUUCGGACUGCAGGCUGCAACUCGCCUGCACGAAGUCGGAAUUGCUAGUAAUCGUGGAUCAGCAUGCCACGGUGAAUACGUUCCCGGGCCU
rnacentral:rRNA from 1 species